GCGCAGUGCCUCGCGAAGCCUCUGGGUCGACGCCGGAAGUGGGCAUGGCCCACCCACUGCUUUCUGGGACUUGUAGUUCAGGGCUGUAGGCGAUGGAGCGGGGCCGUAUAGCAAAUCCUGUGCUUCCAGGUGUCGGAUUCCACGUGGGAGGAAUCUAUCCUUCUUGAGAGGAGAAAAUGACCAAGUUCCAGGAAUGGUCAACUACUUAG
rnacentral:lncRNA from 1 species